rnacentral:lncRNA from 1 species
GUCUGAAACCACAGCCAGAUGUGUAGUGCUGCCUCUCCUAAGGUGCAAACCUCUCUCUGCCAGUCCCUACCAAACUGGAGCCCCUACUGGACCAGAAUUGAAAAGGGUGUCUCUUAACAGCUGAGGUAUUUGCUUGGAAAGCUCUCCUUCAACCCUCUCUUUCCUCUUUUCCCCAUUCUGGUUAAUCUGCUUUGUAUACAGUGAAAAGAAGGUUUGAGAUUUGAUCUCAGGUCCAAAUGGGAAGCCAGGCAGGCCACAUGAAACUCAUAGGCCUUAAUUUACUCAUUGUCCUACUUUAUCCUGAACUAAACCUUUCACUAGUAGUUAAGUGGCCAUUGGAAGUGAAAUGAUGUCCCAAAUUCAACAUAAGACUUGCUCUUGAUGAAGUAGAAGGAAGCAAAAACAUUGUUGAAACAGUAGGGAUUUGCAAGGCAAGAAUAAUGAAAAUAAUGCCACAUUAAAUUGAAAAACAGGCACGUGCCACUGCAUCUCGCUAAUUUUCUUAUUUUCUGUAGACAUGGGGUCUCCCUAUGUUGCCCAGGCUGGUCUUUAACUCUUGGGCUCAAGUGAUUCUCCUGCCUUGGUCUCCCAAAGUGCUGGAAUUACAGAUGUGCGCCACCAUGCCCAGCCUUGUCUUAUUAUAUUAUCUUUAGAUACAUUAUGCCUCAGAAAUAUUUAUGGAUCAUGGAAUGGAUCAUGUCAUAUAGGAGAAAAAAAAGAGAUUGCUUUCAGUACUUUGGAAAUAUUGAACUUAUUUUAAAUAUUUUCGAAAGAACUACGAACCUCUGUGAUUGACUGGUACAGAAUUACCAAAUCUGAUGGCGUCCCAGUAUUUCACUAGUGAUAGUGUUCUCAGAAGAGCUCUUAUGAAUAGUGCUACCAGCAUGGAUCCAGCAUAUUUUCUUUGCCCUCAGUCCCCU